UACGUAGGGACCAAGCGUUGUUCGGAUUUACUGGGCGUAAAGGGUGCGCAGGCGGCCAAGUGUGUUAGGCGUGAAAGCCUGAGGCUUAACCUCAGAAUUGCACCUAAAACUACAUGGCUAGAGCAUUGGAGAGGGUAGCGGAAUUCACGGUGUAGCAGUGAAAUGCGUAGAUAUCGUGAGGAACACCAGAGGCGAAGGCGGCUACCUGGACAAUCGCUGACGCUCAGGCACGAAAGCGUGGGGAGCAAAAGGG
rnacentral:rRNA from 1 species